rnacentral:lncRNA from 1 species
AUUCCUGCGCAGGUGCACGGCGACGACGCCCGGCUGGGCCGGCGCCUUAGAAGUUGGACCGGCCCCGGCCUGGGUCGGACGGUGGAGGUGAUAGACAUCUGCUCGCCCAGUAACGAUGGCGGUGUUUCACGACGAGGUGGAGAUCGAGGACUUCCAAUAUGACGAGGACUCGGAGACGUACUUCUACCCCUGCCCGUGUGGAGAUAACUUCUGCAUCACCAAGGAAGAUUUGGAGAAUGGGGAAGACGUGGCAACGUGCCCUAGCUGCUCUCUCAUUAUAAAAGUGAUUUAUGACAAAGUAAGGAGUCAGAUUUUAAAAGGUGGGGGAGGGUUGCAGGCACCUAGAAUAGUCUGCCUGUGAUAGGUAGGUGCAGAAUGUUUUCUAAUCUUGUGCUAGGUAAAUGCUAUGUUUUUUAAAACAAAUUUUUAAAACCAUUAAUAAGCAGCUGUAUAGUAAAUUAAAAUUUUAAAAGCUCAACUUGAUUAACUCUUUUAGCUUUGGAGAAGGCAAUAAAGAAAACUGUUCUGUAUCUAGUGAAUAUUAGGAUUACUUAUUAAAUAGAGGAAAAUAAUUAUAAAGAUUAUUUAAUUGACAGUGUUUAUUCCUCCCUUAUUUAAUAAGCAAUUAAAAUUGUUUAGAGCUCUUGGACUUAUUUUGAGGGAACAUUUGUAUAGUAUCUCUUACCUGGCUUAUACAUCGAGCUCUGCAUUAUCUUGUUUGAGAUGUAAGUCAUAGUUGCAAUUUUACAAUUUUCAUUUUAGUCUUUAGUUGUCCUGCUGUUUUCACCCAAGGAUAUUGACAAUAGAAAACAAAAUAAAUGCCCACCCCAACUUUUGGUCAGUACUUUGAAUGGAGUCUUAACUUCAUAAGAAGCUUAACAUUCUUUUCUCUGGGUUUUGGUUUUUGUUUUUGUUGUUGUUGAUAUAAUUGUCAUAUAACAAAGCUUAACAUUCUUAAGGAUGAACUCUAAAAUGAGUAUAGGCAAGGUGGGGGAACAAGGCACAUACCUCAUGACAUAAGCAGGCUAUAAUUUAGACGACACUUAAGAGGUUUACUGAUUUAUUCUUGCAUUUAAAUGUGUUCUGGAACAAAAAGAAAACAGGGUAAGGGUGAGCGGGAGUGCUGGUAUGAGAAGAGAUUGCAAUUUUAAAUCGGGUGAUCACGUACUGUAGGCUGUUUAGUAGCAUCCCUGACCUCUACCCAUUAGAUGCCAGUAGCACCCCGCAGCAUGUCAACCCAGAAUGUCUCCACACAUUGCCAAAUAUCCCCAGAGACAAAAACAACACCUCCUCCCCGCUACUGCUCGAGAACCUUGUGUUAGAGCAGGAAGGCACAGGGCCAUUUUAAAGAAUAUGGAGCAUCGUGUUGGUGGUGGACCAUAAACUCCGAAGAACACAGUGGGAGGGUUCCAGGUGCUGGGCAGGAGUCAGAAAUCAAUAGGGACAGAAUACAGGCUGAUCCUUAUGGGGAUCAGACUGCAGGAGAUGAGGGGUAACCUGGGAGGCAGAGGUUUCUUGGGCUGGCUGGUGUAAGCCAGGCUAAAUCAUCAGAGAUUGAACUUCAUUUACAAAAUAGCUAAUUUGCAGAUUAUCUAUGUUGGGAAACAUAAAGAGCUAUCCCUUUAGUUGAAAAAAGUAAUUACUUUGAAGAGGGCAGGUAUUUGAGUGACCAAAUAUUGAAGUGGAGAAGUAGUAGUGCAAAUAGUAAUUAAUACAGAAACUUAAAAGGUGUGAUGUCUGUUUUAUAAAUGUGAUUUCUGAGAAAUGGGUGCUCUGUAGUGACGAGGGACAUGUUUGUUUAUAAGAGGCAUUAAAUAUGAAUUCAGGACUAAAAACUGAUACAUUUUUAAGAUUAUGAUUCUGCUGCUGGCAUUGACUCAUUGAACAAGAAUGAAGUGAUAGAGCAAAGGAAAAACUUAGAUUAGCAGAGCUGGAUUGAUUCUGUAACAAAAUGAGUUUAUCUUUGAUGCAUCUGUGACACAGACACUCCGUGAUUAAUAUAAUUUCUUGUUCUGUCUUAGGAUCAGUUUAUGUGUGGAGAGACAGUCCCGGCCCCUUCCACCAACAAAGAGCUAGUUAAGUGCUGAAGCAGACUUUAGGAUUCCAAAGCCUGAAUUUUGGGGAAUGAGCCAAAUUGGAAAAAUCAAAUGCAAAGUCACUGGCUUCUUCAUGGGAACAGUCAUUUUGUAGUUUGGUGUUCCAUAGAGUGUGGAUUCUUUCCAUCGGCUGCCAAGUUCAUCUCCAGUUGAAGAAGCAAGUCCACCACAUGACAUACGCGGAUUUUGUGCCAAAACUUUGAAUUGGAUGGGCUCUUAAUUUUCCAUCCGAACUUAAAAGAAGAUAAUUUCAAAUCAGUGCUUUCUUUCACUCAAUUUUGUUAUUUUUAUAUCUUACACAUAAUUACUUCAUUAUCUGACAACAGCUUCAUCUACCUCAAAGUCAUUAGGAUUCUUUAAUUUUAAAAAAGAUUUUACUUUUAGUUGGUUAUUAAGAUUAUUAAAUCAGCCCUUUCUUUGUAGUUUGACAUCAGCUCUGCUGUUCUAAACUGAAGAAAUCAGUUGCCUUCAGUCAGUCGGGGACUGUACCUUCAGUUGGCCAGGCCAGUUUUCAAGAGCUGGCCAUGAGUCAGAUGUCUGUGUUCUGUUAAGCAUGUCAUUUCCAUUAUACUUCAUACACUGGGUUCUGGUCAUGGUGUUAAAGAGAAAAUAUACUGAGCUCACAAUUUGUCCAGAGUUAAAAGGUAGUGAGUAAGAAGAAAAGUCAAAAAGUGAAAUGAUCAAAGAAUAUGGAAUUUCCUUAUCAAUAUUCUGCAUGUUCCUUGAAAAUCAGGACAAGAUAAAAAGAAAAACAGCCAAAGAAAGUGAAAUUGGUAAACGGAGGAGAGGAGAAAAAUAUGCCUACUUUUAGUAAAUUAACUGCUUGAGUGGUUACAGAGCAAGUAACAUUUCUGAAUCUGGGUUCUUGUGUGUGUAUUUGUUUUUAGAUAAGGCUAAGGAAAUUUCACUCUAGGUAGGGGUUAAUGUCAAGUCUUCAUGGCUAGCGGCCCUGCUUUCAGCAUUACCACCAAAUCAAGUUACUAGUCCUAAAAGGUAAAGCUUCCACAGCAACUCUUGUAUUUGCUGAGGAGGAACUUAAGAAUGAGAUGCCUGUUCCAAUUAAAUAUGCCCCUGAGGGCCCAUCUAAUAAGCCUCUAUAAGCUGCAACCACAUCAGACAUUCACUCUUGCCCUGGAGAAAAAGAAACAUACAAAGAUAGGCUAUCGGUCUUCCUUUGCUACAGCCCUGAGAAUAGCAAGAAAUAGAACCACUUGCACAGAAAUGCCAAAAUUCCCUUUAUAUACACACCUCUGCUGUGUGUACAUAAAGCUAAACUCACCUAUGUCUGGUGGGUUGCUCUGUAAAUGGCUUCUGCAGUUAGAAAAAUAGCUUGCCAGCAUGUGAGCAUUUUAUUACUAACUGAUAAAUGUGCAGCAUACUCACUGGGGGUUUAAAUUAAAACAGGCCAGUGGCCUUUUUUCCCCUGCCAACAGCAUGGCUAUGUGAAGCCAUUAGGCUGAGACAUAAAUCACCAAAAACUGUAUGCCAGAACUGCUUGGUACAUUAUGUGAAGCAUAUGGCGUGUUGAUAUGUUGAGAAAUCUCAUCGCUGUUUGGGACACUGACACCCCAGAAGUAAUCCACAGUUGCUUUGGAACGAGUGACGGCUCAGGUGAACAGAGCAGGGUGUGUGCUGACUGGUGGGGAUGAGCUACAGAGAGAAACGAACUGUCCCAUACUCAGAUCUGAUGGUUUCGUAGAUACUGGUAACUGAUGAUGAAUUUCAAACAAGAACAGACAUCCCUGAUGUCACUUACACUGUGAGCGUAGAAGAGCAGGAAGAAAAGUUGCCCAAGUCCAAAUGUCCCAGGAGAAAAGCCAGCACCACUGGCGAUUGGUGAUAAUGUGAUAACGGGAAUGAUUUCAUUCCAAAGCAGCUGAGUUGCUAAAUCUGUUAACCACAAAAGAACACAUCAGGAUUUAAUCCUGUGUUAAGCAGAAAGUAAAACCAGGGUCUGACAGAUACGACUCGAGUUCAGUGUGGUGUAUAUGCCUUGUUUAGCUUCACAGACAUUUCAGAGACCCUCUGAGGACUGAGUUGUAAUCCAGGCUCUGUCUCUUGCUGCCUUGGUAAUCUUUGGCAAGACCAGUGGAUUCCUCAUCCGUACAAUUAGGAGACUGGAUCAGGGUAUUUCUAAACUCAGUACUAUAAUUUCAGGCUUCAUAGUUUGCAGGAGCUGGAAUGGUAAUUGAAACCUUUUUAAACUAAACACGGGCUGAAGAUGAAUUACAGAGAAAGACACUCCAUUCUUCAGUAACUCCAUGUCAAAGGAUUCUGCAUAUACUUUAGUGUACACAGUCAGAAACCUUUUUAUCGGAAAGCACCCAACAUUUUUGACAACUGUACAUAUUAAUUUAUUACCAGAAUAAAUUGUAUUGGCAUGCUAAAUAAAGCCAGAUUAUUUACAUCC